UCAACUCAUUCGACGCGUGUCUUCGCCACGCUAGGAGGCGGCGCGAUGGAUGGAACGUGCGCGCUGCUGCCACUUCUAGUUCUCCCCGGGAAAGAGAGGGUAGUAUCGAGCCAGGCAAGCGAGGGAGGACCGCUGCUCUUCGGUUCGGAAUGGGCGUUGCCCCUGUCGUGCUGCAGGCUGGAUCUUUGAGUUGGGAUGUGAAACUGCCUCUUUAUCUGAACCAUUAAUUUCGCUGCCUAGAUGAAGGUACUAACAGCAGUCCAUUUGGCUUGACCUUGAAGGCCCUACUAAGCAGCGAUAAUGGUGACUAUGGAAGCUGCCUGCCCUCCCUUAUGAGAGAAUCAGUAAUGCCAGAUUGGUUCAAUGAAAUUUCACGUCUUUAAAUUAGUACUCUGUUGACAAAAGGUGUUAUCCUGCUUCAGCAUCAGACUAGAUGCAUCCAAUGUUUACCAAUAUUGUAAUGCUGCUCUAGGUAACACAUAUAUCGCAGUAAUAGUUGGGUUUUAUGGCCAUGGUGGUUCUUGGCAUACAAUUUUCUAAAACAACCAUUUUACAAAUAUUCCACUGCACUUGUACCCUAGAGGAUUGACAUAACUCUCAAGGUGGCCUCAUCGUUUUCUCUCAUCCAGGAUGGUUGCCUCCGGUCAUUGUUCCCUGCUACUAGAUUGUCAAUUCAUAACAGUAAUGACUUUAGAUGCAAUUAUAUCUCUUUUCAGUGGUUUGCUGAAGUACUUGAAUGACCUAGUGUGGGGUAUGGCUGCACUACUUAU